GUCCACGCCGUAAACGGUGGGCGCUAGAUGUGGGGACCCUUCCAUGGUUUCUGCGUCGCAGCUAACGCAUUAAGCGCCCCGCCUGGGGAGUACGGUCGCAAGACUAAAACUCAAAGGAAUUGACGGGGGCCCGCACAAGCAGCGGAGCAUGCGGCUUAAUUCGAUGCAACGCGAAGAACCUUACCUAGACUUGACAUAUACGGAAAACAUGCAGAGAUGUAUGGUCCUAACGGGCCGUUUACAGGUGGUGCAUGGUUGUCGUCAGCUCGUGUCGUGAGAUGUUGGGUUAAGUCCCGCAACGAGCGCAACCCUCGUUCUAUGUUGCCAGCACGUAAUGGUGGGGACUCAUAGGAGACUGCCGGGGUCAACUCGGAGGAAGGUGGGGAUGACGUCAAAUCAUCAUGCCCCUUAUGUCUAGGGCUGCACGCAUGCUACAAUGGCUGGUACAAAGGGCUGCGAUACCGCAAGGUGGAGCGAAUCCCAAAAAGCCAGUCUCAGUUCGGAUUGGGGUCUGCAACUCGACCCCAUGAAGUUGGAGUUGCUAGUAAUCGCAGAUCAGCAACGCUGCGGUGAUACGUUCCCGGGCCUUGUACACACCGCCCGUCACGUCACGAAAGUCGGUACACCCGAAGCCGGUGGCCUAACCGUAAGGAA
rnacentral:rRNA from 1 species